rnacentral:lncRNA from 1 species
AUGGGAGGAACAGACUGGCGAGAGGCCCCAUGUGGGACGGACUCCACGGAGGUUACCAGAGAUGUCCCCAUCAUCCUCGUAGUCGCCUCUGGAAAGCUGACGGCAGGGAGCAGGGCAGAUCUCCAGACCAUGCGGUCAGAGUACUGCUUCCACUGGAGAAAAUGUGGCCUGUGCAGAAGAGCCACCCUGCCAAGAGAGCCUGGAAGAGCUGCCUCCACGUGGACCGAGCUUCCGCUCUGCGGGACUUCUCGGGCCUCUGCUGCCUGGUGUGCGGGCGGUGCUGCCCCGUGUGCCCAGCCUCAUGACCCGUUUUGUCAGGAGCACGAAAUGUCUCCCAGUAGUUGGGGGUGUUCCGGGAAACAGUGCGGGAAACAGUGCCGGUCUACUGAAGUCAGGGGCCUUUGGCUCUGUUAUUUUACGCCUGCCACUUACUCAUGUGACCUUAGACAUGGCCUGACCCAGGUGGGCCUCAGUUUCACCAUCUGUCAAAUGGCAGAGGAGAAUGGAAUCCCUAAGUUUGCUUCCAGUUCUUUUUCUUUUUUUAAAGAUUGGCGCCUGAGGUAACAUCUGUUGCCCAUCUUUUUUUUCUUCUUCUCCCCAAAGCCCCCCAGUACCUAGGAGUAGAUUCUAGUUGUAGGUCCUUCUGGCUGUGCUUUGUGGGGUGCCACGUCAGCAUGGCCUAACGAGCAGUGCCAUGUCCACGCCCAGGAUCCGAACCGGCGAAACCCUGGGCCACCAAAGCCAAGUGCGCGGACUUAACCACUCGGCAACAGGGCCGGCUCCUGCUUCCAGUUCUGAGGUGCUGGGGUCUCGAAGCUCUUCUCCUCCACCACUGGCUUCCUGCCUGUAACCCCAGCACACCCAACUCUGGACAAGGACGGUGCUGGGAGGAGUGCAGAGGACUCCAAGAGGGCGCCAGGCAGUAGUCCCAUUGCUGGUCCCGCGUCCUGCCCUUGAACGGUGGGUGGAACUGUGCCGGGCAGGGCCCCACCAGGCUCCUGCCUGGAGAGGAGACCAGAGGGCUGCUGUCUUCCCCUCCCUGUUUCUCUGCCCCCUGCAGGGACAGUCAGCUGCUGGGGGAUUAAGAGCAGGCCCUGUGCCCAUUCAAGUCAUUCAGCAAGACAGGAAGCCAAGCACGCUCCUGCCCGCCCCCUCUGCUGGGCAGGUCUGCAGGAUUAGCGCAUUGUGCUGGGGACUCGCACAAAGGGAGGCCCAGCCCGUUGGGAAAGGCCAUGUCCCAGAGGGAAUCUGUCUCCCCGUGGCUGGGGCGGGCUGCUGGGCUGCAGUGCGAACCCGCCCGUCUGCCAAGCCAGAGGCUGCACCCUCACUGGGACAGCCUCCUCAGUGCCCAGCCCUGCCAUUUACCUGCACAGUGGCUCAGGCCUCCCAGGGGCGCCUUAUGGUGCCUCCCAUGACAAGGGCCCAUCAUCCACACAUGAAGUUGCGUGCAGGAGUCUUUUCUUGGGACAAUGCAGAGGUCUGCACAAAAGGCAGGCA